rnacentral:rRNA from 1 species
AUUGAACGCUGGCGGCAGGCUUAACACAUGCAAGUCGAGCGGAGAUGAGGUGCUUGCACCUUAUCUUAGCGGCGGACGGGUGAGUAAUGCUUAGGAAUCUGCCUAUUAGUGGGGGACAACAUUCCGAAAGGAAUGCUAAUACCGCAUACGUCCUACGGGAGAAAGCAGGGGAUCUUCGGACCUUGCGCUAAUAGAUGAGCCUAAGUCGGAUUAGCUAGUUGGUGGGGUAAAGGCCUACCAAGGCGACGAUCUGUAGCGGGUCUGAGAGGAUGAUCCGCCACACUGGGACUGAGACACGGUCCAGACUCCUACGGGGGGCAGCAGUGGGGAAUAUUGGACAAUGGGGGGAACCCUGAUCCAGCCAUGCCGCGUGUGUGAAGAAGGCCUUAUGGUUGUAAAGCACUUUAAGCGAGGAGGAGGCUACUGAGACUAAUACUCUUGGAUAGUGGACGUUACUCGCAGAAUAAGCACCGGCUAACUCUGUGCCAGCCGCCGCAGUAAAAC